CAAUAUUUUUUCAAACCUCGUAGGUAUAUUUUUAUUUAGCUGAUAUUAUACUCAAGUAACUAUUGGUUUCGUACAGGCAGAGCCAUCUAUCGGCAGGAUUGUAUUGAUAACCCAGUUUGCUGUUAGCUAGAAUGACAAAAGAUGGCGUGUCGAUCGUCGUUAAUUUAUUUCCUUCCAAAAUCCCUUUUGAAUUUUCAUUUAUUAAAAAUAAAACUCAAUUUAUUAUUGUAUUGUUAGUUUUCGUUCCUUUUUGGAAAUAUUUUAUUACCCUCUUUAAGACAGAAGUUAAAGUUGUUGUCUAUAGGCGAAUGCAUCUCGUCACGUAUCUGUGGGCCGAGCUGUCAGCCGACACUUUGCAUAUUGGAAAGGAUGUAGACGGGUGGUUUUCAAAUUCUUCAGGGCCAAUGCGCCACAUUCUAAUUUUUAAAUCGCGAAUUAAUCGCAUAAUCAUGAUUUUAAUUUUAUAAAAUUACUGAGGACCCCUUCCAUUGACAUGAUUGCACGGAACCACAAGCCGGCUUCUUUUCUGGAAUGGGUCCUCAGAUUUGGAGGUUAACGUUCGAAGACAGAGCAGAGCUGAUGCUUCCCGAGCCUGGACCGGUGGACAGGAGGCUGUG